GCGCUCUGCUAGGCCGUAACUGACACUGAGGGACGAAAGCUAGGGGAGCGAAUGGGAUUAGAUACCCCAGUAGUCCUAACCGUAAACGAUGGAUACUAGGCGUGGCUUGUAUCGACCCGAGCCGUGCCGUAGCUAACGCGUUAAGUAUCCCGCCCGGGGAGUACGCACGCAAGUGUGAAACUCAAAGGAAUUGACGGGGGCCCGCACAAGCGGUGGAGUAUGUGGUUUAAUUCGAUGCAACGCGAAGAACCUUACCAAGACUUGACAUGUCGCGAAUCUUUCUGAAAGGGGAGAGUGCCUUCGGGAGCGCGAAAACAAGUGGUGCAUGGCUGUCGUCAGCUCGUGUCGUGAGAUGUUGGGUUAAGUCCCGCAACGAGCGCAACCCUCGUUUUUAGUUGCCAGCAUUAAGUUGGGCACUCUAGAGAGACUGCCGGUGACAAACCGGAGGAAGGUGGGGAUGACGUCAAGUCAGCAUGCCCCUUACGUCUUGGGCUACACACGUACUACAAUGCUACGGACAGAGGGCAACGAGCGCGGGAGUCAAGCAAAUCCCGUAAACCGUGGCUCAGUUCAGAUCGCAGGCUGCAACUCGCCUGCGUGAAGGUGGAAUCGCUAGUAAUUGCAGGUCAGCAUACUGCAGUGAAUUCGUUCCCGGGCCUUGUACACACCGCCCGUCACACCAUGGAAGCUGGUAGUGCCCGAAGUCAUUACUCCAACCUUUCGGGGGGAGGAUGCCUAAGGCAGGACUGGUGACUGGGGUGAAGUCGUAACAAGGUAGCC
rnacentral:rRNA from 1 species